rnacentral:lncRNA from 1 species
AAGGAUAAUUUUGGAAGACAAAACUUAUCUUGUGUGAUGCAUUAAUGACAUUGUUUGAAGUGUAAAGAAAGUUACACAUGUCAAGAGGAGAAGGGAGAAUGUCCAGAGGAAAAGGUAAGAGAGAAUGUUGCUAGCAUUCCCCCACAUAUAAAGACCUCACUCUUUCUUCUUUCUACCAGUGUGGGACAAAUGUCCUUGAAUUUCAUUCAAACUUCCAACAUCAUCAUGGAAAUUUUGAAUUGGAUAUCUCAAAUAGUCAAACGAGAGCUAGAGUUAGGAAAAAAGAAAAAAGAAAAAAAGGAAUGGGUCAAAAUAUAUAAAUUUUUGGACAACCAUGUAAAUGAGCUAUGGGCUGGAACCCCACUAUAGUUUAGAGGAUCUCUUAUAAUUAAAUCUCAAUAUUAAGAUACCCAACUCAUACAUAAAAGAAGGGACUAGUGAAAUUACUUUUAUUCCCAA